rnacentral:rRNA from 1 species
AUGAAUUGCCUAAGCUGAAACUGUCGGGGGGCGGCCAACAAACCGACAGUUCGUGAGUUAGUUGGCAUGGUUAAAUCAUCUCAAGCUAAGAUAGUCUUUUUAUGUGAAACUAGGCAGAGUUCUGAAAAAGUGAAGCGCUUGCAUGGUAGGUUAGGUCUAAGAGGUUUCUCUGGUGUUAGCUCUAAUGGCCUUAGUGGAGGUCUAGCUCUUUUUUGG